rnacentral:rRNA from 1 species
AACGCUAGCGACAGGCCUAACACAUGCAAGUCAGGGGCGAGCACAAGGAGCAAUCUGAGUGGCGACCGGCGCACGGGUGAGUAACACGUAUGCAACCUGCCUGUAAGCGGGGAAGUAACCCGUUGAAAGACGGACCAAUACCGCAUAAUACUAAAUUACUGCAUGGUAAUUUAUUUAAACAUUUAUGGCUUACAGAUGGGCAUGCGCAUGAUUAGCUAGUUGGAGAGGUAACGGCUCCCCAAGGCAACGAUCAUUAGGGGUUCUGAGAGGAAGGUCCCCCACACUGGUACUGAGACACGGACCAGACUCCUACGGGAGGCAGCAGUGAGGAAUAUUGGUCAAUGGACGAGAGUCUGAACCAGCCAAGUCGCGUGCAGGAAGAAUGUCCUAUGGAUUGUAAACUGCUUUUGCAGGGGAAUAAAGUGCAUCACGUGUGAUGUUUUGUAUGUACUCUGCGAAUAAGGAUCGGCUAACUCCGUGCCAGCAGCAGC